CGCACAGCUCGGGCGCGCAGCCGGGGACGGAGAGUGUGCUGCCGGGGAGGGUCCGAGGGGCGCCCACAGGCCUUCCGAAGUCGGUGUGACGAAAGCGCCAGAAGAACCUCCGUCAGAGCCCGUCUCCCUCUGUGGGAAGCCUCUUCUCGACCCUUCCUGGGUCAGGGCCACUUGUUCUCUGCUCCCAGGGUGGCGCCACAGGCCAGAGGCGUUGGGGAAGUUCAGCAACUGCCCCUCCAACACGGGAGGAUAAAUAAGGCUCUUCCCGCCCUUGAACCCGUGGAAAUUCUGGACCAGCUCUCCUGGCCUUGUGAUGGUUUACACGUUGGACCCCAACGCUUGGCUACCAGGUGAUGUUCACCAAAGCGAACUUGUCACAUUCCCCAUUUCAGCGCCACGCUGUGUUCUCUGCCAUCAGUCAAUCUCCAAGCUGUUCCUCGAGUUGAAAGUAAUUCCUUCAAGUAGUUCGUUUUACUUGGUCCCAUGGCUACAAAGUCUUUGGUCCUAGGGCAGUGGAGGACAGAUUGAGAUCGGAAAGAUCAUUUUAAAUUAAUUAGCCCCUCACCCAAAGAAAACAUUCUGGCAAAGCAAGGACAGCACACGUGGAAGCAGGAAUUCCUCGUGUGUCUCCAGUUUUGAUGAACUAAUUCAGAAGGAGGUCGAGUUGGUACCUAGAGUCAAAUAUCCCAGCUCUUUACAAAGGACAGUUCGCUCUUUGAAGGGAUUUGUAAUUGGGGUAGAUGAAGAGUGAUGUAUACAAAUCAACAAUAUCAGACUCUGAUAAAUGACAAAAAAAGAAAUAACAGCCCCAGAAAA